rnacentral:rRNA from 1 species
UGGGGAAUUUUGGACAAUGGGCGAAAGCCUGAUCCAGCAAUGCCGCGUGUGUGAAGAAGGCCUUCGGGUUGUAAAGCACUUUUGUCCGGAAAGAAAUCCUUGGCUCUAAUACAGUCGGGGGAUGACGGUACCGGAAGAAUAAGCACCGGCUAACUACGUGCCAGCAGCCGCGGUAAUACGUAGGGUGCAAGCGUUAAUCGGAAUUACUGGGCGUAAAGCGUGCGCAGGCGGUUUGCUAAGACCGAUGUGAAAUCCCCGGGCUCAACCUGGGAACUGCAUUGGUGACUGGCAGGCUAGAGUAUGGCAGAGGGGGUAGAAUUCCACGUGUAGCAGUGAAAUGCGUAGAGAUGUGGAGGAAUACCGAUGGCGAAGGCAGCCCCUGGGCCAAUACUGACGCUCAUGCACGAAAGCGUGGGGAGCAAACAGGAUUAGAUACCCUGGUAGUCCACGCCCUAAAACCGAUGUCCAACUAGUUNUUGGGGAUUCAUUUCCUUAGUAACGUAGCUAACGCGUGAAGUUGACCGCCUGGGGAGUACGGUCG